GACGAACGCUGGCGGCGUGCUUAACACAUGCAAGUCGAACGGAAAGGCCCUGCUUUUGUGGGGUGCUCGAGUGGCGAACGGGUGAGUAACACGUGAGUAACCUGCCCUUGACUUUGGGAUAACUUCAGGAAACUGGGGCUAAUACCGGAUAGGAGCUCCUGCUGCAUGGUGGGGGUUGGAAAGUUUCGGCGGUUGGGGAUGGACUCGCGGCUUAUCAGCUUGUUGGUGGGGUAGUGGCUUACCAAGGCUUUGACGGGUAGCCGGCCUGAGAGGGUGACCGGCCACAUUGGGACUGGGAUACGGCCCAGACUCCUACGGGAGGCAGCAGUGGGGAAUAGUGCACGAUGGGCGGAAGCCUGAUGCAGCAACGCCGCGUGCGGGAUGACGGCCUUCGGGUUGUAAACCGCUUUCGCCUGUGACGAAGCGUGAGUGACGGUAAUGGGUAAAGAAGCACCGGCUAACUACGUG
rnacentral:rRNA from 1 species